rnacentral:rRNA from 1 species
CCUACGGGAGGCAGCAGUAGGGAAUCUUCCGCAAUGGACGAAAGUCUGACGGAGCAACGCCGCGUGAACGAUGAAGGCCUUCGGGUCGUAAAGUUCUGUUGUUAGGGAAGAACAAGUGCUAGUUGAAUAAGCUGGCACCUUGACGGUACCUAACCAGAAAGCCACGGCUAACUACGUGCCAGCAGCCGCGGUAAUACGUAGGUGGCAAGCGUUGUCCGGAAUUAUUGGGCGUAAAGCGCGCGCAGGCGGUUUCUUAAGUCUGAUGUGAAAGCCCCCGGCUCAACCGGGGAGGGUCAUUGGAAACUGGGAAACUUGAGUGCAGAAGAGGAAAGUGGAAUUCCAAGUGUAGCGGUGAAAUGCGUAGAGAUUUGGAGGAACACCAGUGGCGAAGGCGACUUUCUGGUCUGUAACUGACGCUGAGGCGCGAAAGCGUGGGGAGCAAACAGGAUUAGAUACCCUGGUAGUCCACGCUGUAAACGAUGAGUGCUAAGUGUUAGAGGGUUUCCGCCUUUAGUGCUGAAGUUAACGCAUUAAGCACUCCGCCUGGGGAUACGGUGCAAGCUGAAACUUAAGGAUUGACGGNNGNGAGNGCGAGCGACGACGAGGGAGAG